rnacentral:rRNA from 1 species
UACGGAGGGAGCUAGCGUUGUUCGGAUAUACUGGGCGUAAAGCGCACGUAGGCGGCGCCGUAAGUCAGGGGUGAAAUCCCGGAGCUCAACUCCGGAACUGCCCUUGAAACUGCAGUGCUAGAAUCUUGGAGAGGCGAGUGGAAUUCCGAGUGUAGAGGUGAAAUUCGUAGAUAUUCGCAAGAACACCAGUGGCGAAGGCGGCUCACUGGCCCGGUACUGACGCUGAGGUGCGAAAGCGUGGGGAGCAAACAGG